rnacentral:rRNA from 1 species
GAUGAACGCUGGCGGCGUGCCUAAUACAUGCAAGUCGAGCGAACAGAUGAGGAGCUUGCUCCUCUGACGUUAGCGGCGGACGGGUGAGUAACACGUGGAUAACCUACCUAUAAGACUGGGAUAACUUCGGGAAACCGGAGCUAAUACCGGAUAAUAUAUUGAACCGCAUGGUUCAAUAGUGAAAGACGGUUUUGCUGUCACUUAUAGAUGGAUCCGCGCCGCAUUAGCUAGUUGGUAAGGUAACGGCUUACCAAGGCAACGAUGCGUAGCCGACCUGAGAGGGGGACCGGCCCCAGUGGAAAUAGGACACGGGCCAACACCCGAGGGGGGGCAGGAGGGGGGAAUUUUCCGAAAGGGGGGAAAGCCUGAGGGGGAAACGCGGGGGGGGGAAAGAAGGUCUUGGGAGUGUAAAACGUUUUUAUGGGGGAAAAAAAAAUGGGAAAGAAAAUAGGCACGUUUUGAGGGUACCAAAACAGAAAGCCGCGGCUAAAUACGU